AAUAAAAUGGCUGAGGAAUUAAGCGAUAAAUUGUAAAUUUAUUUACGAGAAUUAUUCUCUUUUAUUA
rnacentral:tRNA from 1 species